rnacentral:rRNA from 1 species
GGGUUGUGAGGUUAAGCGACUAAGCGUACACGGUGGAUGCCCUGGCAGUCAGAGGCGAUGAAGGACGUGCUAAUCUGCGAUAAGCGUCGGUAAGGUGAUAUGAACCGUUAUAACCGGCGAUUUCCGAAUGGGGAAACCCAGUGUGAUUCGUCACACUAUCAUUAACUGAAUCCAUAGGUUAAUGAGGCGAACCGGGGGAACUGAAACAUCUAAGUACCCCGAGGAAAAGAAAUCAACCGAGAUUCCCCCAGUAGCGGCGAGCGAACGGGGAGCAGCCCAGAGCCUGAAUCAGUGUGUGUGUUAGUGGAAGCGUCUGGAAAGGCGCGCGAUACAGGGUGACAGCCCCGUACACAAAAAUGCACAUGCUGUGAGCUCGAUGAGUAGGGCGGGACACGUGGUAUCCUGUCUGAAUAUGGGGGGACCAUCCUCCAAGGCUAAAUACUCCUGACUGACCGAUAGUGAACCAGUACCGUGAGGGAAAGGCGAAAAGAACCCCGGCGAGGGGAGUGAAAAAGAACCUGAAACCGUGUACGUACAAGCAGUGGGAGCACGCUUAGGCGUGUGACUGCGUACCUUUUGUAUAAUGGGUCAGCGACUUAUAUUCUGUAGCAAGGUUAACCGAAUAGGGGAGCCGAAGGGAAACCGAGUCUUAACUGGGCGUUAAGUUGCAGGGUAUAGACCCGAAACCCGGUGAUCUAGCCAUGGGCAGGUUGAAGGUUGGGUAACACUAACUGGAGGACCGAACCGACUAAUGUUGAAAAAUUAGCGGAUGACUUGUGGCUGGGGGUGAAAGGCCAAUCAAACCGGGAGAUAGCUGGUUCUCCCCGAAAGCUAUUUAGGUAGCGCCUCGUGAAUUCAUCUCCGGGGGUAGAGCACUGUUUCGGCAAGGGGGUCAUCCCGACUUACCAACCCGAUGCAAACUGCGAAUACCGGAGAAUGUUAUCACGG